GAUGAACGCUGGCGGCGUGCCUAAUACAUGCAAGUCGAGCGAACGGACGAGAAGCUUGCUUUUCUGAUGUUAGCGGCGGACGGGUGAGUAACACGUGGAUAACCUACCUAUAAGACUGGGAUAACUUCGGGAAACCGGAGCUAAUACCGGAUAAUAUUUUGAACCGCAUGGUUCAAAAGUGAAAGACGGUCUUGCUGUCACUUAUAGAUGGAUCCGCGCUGCAUUAGCUAGUUGGUAAGGUAACGGCUUACCAAGGCAACGAGGCAUAGCCGACCUGAGAGGGUGAUCGGCCACACUGGAACUGAGACACGGUCCAGACUCCUACGGGAGGCAGCAGUAGGGAAUCUUCCGAAAUGGGCGAAAGCCUGACGGAGCAACGCCGCGUGAGUGAUGAAGGUCUUCGGAUCGUAAAACUCUGUUAUUAGGGAAGAACAUAUGUGUAAGUAACUGUGCACAUCUUGACGGUACCUAAUCAGAAAGCCACGGCUAACUACGUG
rnacentral:rRNA from 1 species